rnacentral:tRNA from 1 species
UAUAAGGUGGUCGAAUAUUUAGUCGUUAGAUUGUAAAUCUAUGAAUGAGUUUGUUUAAACUUUCUUAUGG